ACCGCGCUCUCUGUUGUUGUUAUGUCGGUGUGCUGCCUUAACACAAACGGUUAGACACGUUUCUAAGAGAAAAUUUUAGUUUUUGAAUCAGUUCAGUAAACACCUGUAAUAUUCUCAUCCUAACAAUCGUCACUGUGUUUUGAAGCAAGCAAGAAUAUCUGGAGGAGUUUAUCAUCUGAACUGAGAUCUGCUGCUGUGAAGAUGCAGUUUGUGAAAGAAGAGAGAGAAGAGAACACGAGUGAACCAGACACCAGCACAAUAAAACACGAGGAACCAGAAACCCGGAGCAUAAAACUCGAGGAACCAGAAAUAAAACACGAGGAACCAGAAACAUGGAGAAUAAAACACGAGGAACCAGAAACCCGGAGAAUAAAACUCGAGGAACCACAAACCUGGAGAAUAAAACACGAGGAACCAGAAACCCGGAGAAUAAAAGACGAGGAACCAGAAAUAAAACACGAGGAACCAGAAACAUGGAGAAUAAAACACGAGGAACCAGAAACCUGGAGAAUAAAAGACGAGGAACCAGAAAUAAAACCAGAAACGUGGAGAAUAAAACACGAGGAACCAGAAACAUGGAGAAUAAAACACGAGGAACCAAAAACCUGCAGAAUAAAUCACGAGGAACAAGGAGAGUUCAUUGAAGAAAAAGAGGAAAAUGAAGAAUCAAGUCCUCAAGAGAAGCAGCAUGCAUGUGAUCAAUGCGAUAAAAUGUUUUUAUGGGCUUCACUUCUGAAGAAACACUUGAAAGUUCAUGCAAAGAAGAAACCACAUUCAUGUCAUUUGUGUGGUAAGAGUUUUUUGCAUGUACAAAGUUUAAAAGAACAUCAGAAAAUACAUACUGAUGUGAGAGAGUACGUGUGCUUUGAGUGUGAAAAGACUUUUAGUUCAGUGAGCAGUUUAAAACUACACGAGAGGAUUCACAUUGGAGAGAAACUUUAUAAGUGUUUACACUGUGACAAGAGAUUCAGUCGUUCAGCAAAUCUGAAAACACAUGAGAGGAUUCACACUGGAGAGAAACCUUACAAGUGUUCACGCUGUGACAAGAGAUUCAGUGUGUCAUCAAGUCUGAAAACACAUGAGAGGAUCCACACUGGAGAGAAACCUUACAAGUGUUCACACUGUGACAAGAGAUUCAGUCGUUCACUAAAUCACAAAAAACAUGAGAGGAUUCACACUGGAGAGAAACCUUACAAGUGUUCACACUGUGACGAGAGAUUCAUUCGUCGAGCAGAUCGGAAAACGCAUGAGAUGAUGCACACUGGAGAGAAACCUUAUAAGUGUUCACACUGUAACAAGAGAUUCAUUCGUCGAGCAUAUCGGAAAACGCAUGAGAUGAUCCACACUGGAGAGAAACCUUAUAAGUGUUCACACUGUGACAAGAGAUUCAGUAAUUCAUCAACUCUGAAAAAACAUGUGAGGAUCCACACUGGAGAGAAACCUUAUAAGUGUUCACACUGUGACAAGAGAUUCAGUCGGUUAACACAUCUGAAAACACAUGAGAGGAUUCACACUGGAGAGAAACCUUACAAGUGUUCACAAUGUGACAAGAGAUUCAGUCAGUCAAUAGAUCUGAAAACACAUGAGAGGAUUCACACUGGAGAGAAACCUUACAAGUGUUCACACUGUGACAAGAGAUUCAGUGUGUCAUCAAAUCUGAUAACACAUGAGAGGAUCCACACUGGAGAGAAACCUUACAAGUGUUCACACUGUGACAAGAGUUUUAUUGUGUCAUCAAAUCUGAUAACACAUGAGAGGAUUCACACUGGAGAGAAACCUUACAAGUGUUCACACUGUGACAAGAGAUUCAGUCAGUCAAUAGAGCUGAAAACACAUGAGAGGAUUCACACUGGAGAGAAACCUUACAAGUGUUCACACUGUGACAAGAGAUUCAGUGUGUCAUCAAGUCUGAAAACCCAUGAGAGGAUCCACACUGGAGAGAAACCUUACAAGUGUUCACACUGUGACAAGAGAUUUAGUGUGUCAUCAAAUCUGAAAACACAUGAGAGGAUCCACACUGGAGAGAAACCUUACAAGUGUUCACAAUGUGACAAGAGAUUCAGUCAGUCAAUAGAGCUGAAAAUACAUGAGAGGAAUCACACUGGAGAGAAACCUUACAAGUGUUCACAAUGUGACCAGAGAUUCAGUCAGUCAAUAGAGCUGAAAAGACAUGAGAGGAUUCACACUGGAUAGAAAGCACAUAACCGCAAUGUACGUGGGAAGCGUACAUUGGCCCAUACAUGCGGAGAUGCAUUUAGAUGUUUAUGUAAAUAUUUUGUUAGGUAUAUGUGUUUCGUCCAGACGGAUCCAGCAUUUUGGGAGAAUGAAUUCACUAUUUCUUUGGGUCCCAGAGUGGAUAAAUCUGAAAAUGACACCUUUGGGUCUUUGUGUUCUGCCAAUCCAUAUAUUUUGUGAAACGAUGUCAUCACCCCACUUCUCUACUAUUGUCAGACACCGCUACAUCAUGUAACACCAACAACAGUGGAGAACUACAUGUUUGUGUUCAUGCUGCAGAAACUACUGAGCCUGAUAUUGGAAAAAAAAACUCACAUUGUCAUUAUUUGUUUUAACGAUGUAUAUUGCAAUAUGGAAAAAAAAAUAAACAGAUGACUUGAACUGC